UGUGUGAGAGAGUCACCCUCACUCCUCUAGACCCAGAAGAAAGCUUCCUGUUAAUUUCUCUUGUCCCCUACACUCACAUUCUCCCAGGAAAUCCCCCGGAAAUAGGGGCUGAACCAGGUCCCUAGACAGCUGCUUACAGGUUUUAUUAAAGGUUUCUAGGCAAUAAGGGAGCUGCAAGGCAGAGCUAGACUGGCUUGUCAGCGGCUUCAAGGCAGCCUCUGCAGGGUGACUGGAAGCAUCCAUGAGCAGGUCUGCCCCUGAAGUACCCUGUGAGAGUGAAGACACGCAGCGAUGAAAACUCUGAGACCGUCCAGAGUGCAGAACAGAGUAACAGAUGGGUUGGGAAAGCCAAGUGCAGAGAUCUUGGAAGUCAGCCCCUGGGCAAGGGCUAGCAGCAUCCCAAACCGUGAAAGUUCCAAAAACUUCAUAGCAAAAUACAAAAUGAAAACAAAUAUUCUACCUGUUGGAUCAAAGUCUGGGAAAUAAUCCGGGCAGUACUGAUGGGAUAAAACCCCAGCUGGUGUGUCAUCCCAGCACAACCAUCCAUCCCAGUGGUAGUAGCAAAGGAAGUAAGAGGUAGACUUCAUGCAAAGCCCAUGAACGGAACUGAAAUAACUGAGCUGACCAAGAGUUUUCUUGACUAGGACCUAUGACUCUUCUCUAAAAGAAGCUUGACUGGCAACAGCCUCUCCAACCAAUAUGAGUGUUGCUAAUAGGAAUGUUCCCUGUGGUGCAGCUUUGGAGCACAGAAUAAGCAGGAAGAAGGAGGAGGAAGACCCACUCGUCUCACCGUUUUCAUUUGGCCCUGCUGUCAGUGUGUCUUUUGGUCGAAGGGGUUGAAUCACUUAAGUGCAAAUUUCAGGCAAAGUAGGAAUUAAACUAGUAUACCCAGUUGACAAUAAUCCUCAAUAAGGAAUCCCCACGAAUUAAAAGAAGGCACUUGAACCAGGUGGAAGCCCCGUGUCAGCAAGGAUCAUCCUCUAUGAUUAGAGCUUCAUUCGUGAUGCCGAGAACAAGUUGCAAUAAAAAAAAAAGAGUACUAAAUUAGCAAUACGUUUAAGAUAGAAUGUCUGAUGAUCUUUCUAAUUACAUCUCUUGAGAGUGCCUUGAUAGUGAUUAGGUGUUAAAAAUAUAUUUCACAAAUGUAAUUACUAAGCUAUAAAUGGAAAUGAAUCCCGGUGGCCAGUGAAGAGUAGUCACAAUACACCCAUAAAAAUAACUCCCAAUAAACAAACAAAAGCAGAAAACACAUUCAGUGGUAUUGUAGAAAACUGCACAAAUUACCCAUUUUACUUCUUACCACUGUUUUGUUUCUUUAGAAGUUCCCGGCAGGAGGGGGGGAAAACAAAUUUUUACUUACAUUUCAUAUUUGCUUUCCCUAAUAUACACUAUCACUGUAACAUUAUUUAAAUGUAGCUAAAAACAGUUAAAAUUUGCAACAUCUGUGCUGGAAAUAAAGGUAAAGUCUGACUACAAAAUGACAUACCAUAAGGUAGUUAUAGUAUUAAAACUCAGCGAUAUCUGGUCCUCAGAGAAUGCCAGCAGGAACUCUUUAACUACAUAUUAUUUUCUCUAUUCAGCAGCAUUGUUUUCUUUCUCCUUCUAUUUGUGAAAUCUGUGAUCUGCCAUCUUGGCAGACACAUAAGAUAGGCUCUAUGUCUACCACAUCCUUAAAGUUUUAAGACAUAAGGCAGGUAAUGUUCAAAAUAUUCAAUAACUAAACUUAGGUUAUAUCUUUGAUAAAAAAUGUCAGAUUGGCAACUAUGUAAAUUACACCCACAUCACAUCUUGAAAUGGUAUUUUUUUAAAUCACAACAUUCUCAGGAAGAGACAGGUGUUAUAGGUGCUACUGUCAAAAGCAAACAAAACCCUCAACAAUAAAAAAAACCUACAUUAAAAAUGGGCAAGGACUUGAAUAUAAAUGUCUCCUAAGAAAAUACCAAUGUCCAAUAAAUGCAUGGUAGAUGCUAAGCAUCACUAAUCAUGAGGGAAAUGCAAAUCAAAACCACAAUGAGAUAGUACCUGAGUGGGAACAGGAUGAUGGCAGUUACUGUUUACUGGGUACACUCUCAGGAAGCUAUAAACAAAAUGAAAGUCCUGCCUAUAAAUAGCUGAAUGGUAGGUCUAGUGGGUAGGAUCCUUGAAAUCUUCUUAAUCAACCCUGUUUGAAAGGAAAAUUCGGUUAAGUGUAUCCCAGGCAGAGUGCAGCCCUCGUAGUGACUUAUAUGUGUGCAAUGGCCACGUGCCUAGAGCGAUGCUCGAGGUCUUUACUCUCAGCACCUAAACUACUUCUCUCAAUAACCCUAAGGGGGAAGGUUUGCAGGUGAGAAAGUGGCAGAGCUGGGAUUCAAUAACAGAUCUCUAAGAUACUACAGUCCAUGUACUUAGGAAGUAUGCAGUAAUGUCUUCCUAAUUUUAUUUUAUAUAGGUCUGGGUUGAAAAUGGAAAUUUGGACCCCUCUUUUCUGCUGUCUAGCUCAAAAGUAAAUAAACUAGGUACUGAGG